GAUGAACGCUGGCGGCGUGCCUAAUACAUGCAGUCGAGCGAACAGACGAGGAGCUUGCUCCUCUGACGUUAGCGGCGGACGGGUGAGUAACACGUGGAUAACCUACCUAUAAGACUGGGAUAACUUCGGGAAACCGGAGCUAAUACCGGAUAAUAUAUUGAACCGCAAGGUUCAAUAGUGAAAGACGGUUUUGCUGUCACUUAUAGAUGGAUCCGCGCCGCAUUAGCUAGUUGGUAAGGUAACGGCUUACCAAGGCAACGAUGCGUAGCCGACCUGAGAGGGUGAUCGGCCACACUGGAACUGAGACACGGUCCAGACUCCUACGGGAGGCAGCAGUAGGGAAUCUUCCGCAAUGGGCGAAAGCUUGACGGAGCAACGCCGCGUGAGUGAUGAAGGUCUUCGGAUCGUAAAACUCUGUUAUUAGGGAAGAACAAAUGUGUAAGUAACUAUGCACGUCUUGACGGUACCUAAUCAGAAAGCCACGGCUAACUACGUG
rnacentral:rRNA from 1 species